CAAUGACAAAAUUUAGCACACACACGAAGGCCCUUGAGAGAAGGGUGAGAACGGUGCUACCUGGUUGGAUGUCUAUGCCACCCAAGAGGGGAAGGCGUUGGAGAUUGAUUCUGGCUAGACUGGCCAUAUUAACUAGAGGUGCUGCACGCUCCACUGGGGACACCAUUGGGAGAGAGGUAGUAACCUAGUACUACACACUCCAUUGGAAAUGUCUUUUGGAGAAAGGGUAGUGACUAGGUGCUACAUACUCCCUUUUGUGACCCUUGGAGAGAGAGUAAGGACCUCAGGGUAUAGUGAUAAGGGGGAGGAUGGGCCAAUAGAGCUUGAGGCCAUCUGAGAAUCCCGAAACCAUUCCACUCAAAGUUGAGGCAAGAGGCCUCCUGAGACGGAAUUGAGGCAAGAGGCCUCCCGAGAUAGAAUUGAGGCAAGAGGCCUCCUGAGACAAAAUUGAGGCAAGAGGCCUCCUGAGACAAAAUUAGAGGCAAGAGGCCUUCUAAGACAAAAUUGAGGCAGUGACCUCUCAUGUAUUUUGUUUUACUUGCAGGUAUGGUGCAAUAAUAUUAAAUAUGACAUAGGAAAGACUAUGACCAAUACUUCAGAAGUGAACCAGAGGAACAAUUAUCAAUGGCGUGAAUCAUGAGCUAUUGCCUAUGAAGUAGGCACGGGUGGAAUCCCAAAACUUCAGUCCUUGUUGUGGAAUGGAGGUAAAUAAUUUUCUCUUCAAUAUGAAUUUUUGCAUUAAUAUUAUUGGGAUUGGUGACUGUGCAGACAUAUAAAGAACAAUGUUUGUGGGAUCAAGCUAUAAAGCUAAAUCUAUUCUAAAAAUGAAAGGGUAAAGUCCCAUGAAUAGAGAGUGUUCACUCUAUACAUGAAAAGGGGGAUAUGAAAUGAUAAGCUCCAGUUUUACUACAAGAAUGUAACAUUUGCUAUUCAAGAGAGUUGGUAAACUCCAACAAGGUGUUCAUAAGGAAAGUACAUAAAGUAACUUUUCAGCAUCUAUAGAUGGCACAAGAGGACGUGGCACUUGAUUUUUAAUAGAGUAAGCGGAGUGUGACAGCAAUUCAAGAGAUAUGACUGAGCUUAAAACCUUCCUGGAGAAGGUCAAAACCUGGAGGAUUAUGGUGUAGAGUAAAGGGCAACCAAUACUGAGUUGGUUCUAUUACCAAGGAAUUGAAGGAAUAUUCAACUCUGAUAUCUGAUUGAUAGUUGCCUAAGAGGAUGGGCCAAAGCAAUAAGUGGGGGAGCGGUCUGAAAGGUGGUAAACAAGAGCACAUGGAAGUGGCAUAACUAAGCAGUAUGAAGUGCUCUCUAUGAAGAAAGCCAUAUGAUUUUACAAGUUGCUAGUGUGGAAAUGUGUCGAAGGUCUUGAGGGACAUGGUGAGUAAAGGGGGAGGGAACAUUAGGUAUAAAUCAUAGAGUUGUCAACUCUAGGUUGUUUGUACUUUCUUGUUCCUCCCCGCCUAAGGUAGUAUUGUUCGCGUGAAGGGAUCAAGCAUGAUGGAAAUAUUCUGUGAGUGUUGUGUUAAAUAAGGGACAUAGAAUGGAGGAGAAGAUCUUCAAAGUCUUCUUGAGGAUUCUAAGAGAAGAAAUGAGAAUCGAAGCUAGUAUAAAAUAACAUAUUGUUGCUCAGUGUCAAGUAUAGCGGAGUUGAUGCUACAACGCGUGCACAGAUACAAGAUUCCUACACUGUUUACACAAUUGUGAGAAUCACGAAUAAAACUGAAGUGGAUGAUAUGAGGAAAUAAAGACUAAGCAGACAACUUGAGUGCAGGGAUUAAGUUGAGCAUGUCCUUUGACAAACUCGCUUAAUCGAGGACAUCAAAAAGCAAGAUGAACUUCAUAAUUUCUUUUUUAGUGAACCUGGG
rnacentral:lncRNA from 1 species